UGGAUGGACCCGUUGCCAGGGAGCUGACUGGAAGGCGGCCAACAUGGAGGUGAUGGCCUCGAUGCAUUCUGCAGGUUGACAGUGAGUCCUAGAACAGCCAGAAGAGAGAGGGUAAAUUGUAAGUUGGGCUGCAGAGCAGACUUGUCCUUAUCCGAAAAAAGCCAGUCAUCUGGGCUGAUGGGGAAGACUGAUACUCCAUGAACACACAGGAUCCGAGGGAUAGGAGCAGAUUCCUCCCCAGGCAGUGAGAGCAGCAGACGAGAAGGAACUGAAGAGGGAGGUGCUCUACUGCUGGAACCAUAGGCACCCUUUGAG